AAAUUGAAGAGUUUGAUCAUGGCUCAGAUUGAACGCUGGCGGCAGGCCUAACACAUGCAAGUCGAGCGGUAGCACAGAGAGCUUGCUCUCGGGUGACGAGCGGCGGACGGGUGAGUAAUGUCUGGGAAACUGCCUGAUGGAGGGGGAUAACUACUGGAAACGGUAGCUAAUACCGCAUAAUGUCGCAAGACCAAAGUGGGGGACCUUCGGGCCUCAUGCCAUCAGAUGUGCCCAGAUGGGAUUAGCUAGUAGGUGGGGUAACGGCUCACCUAGGCGACGAUCCCUAGCUGGUCUGAGAGGAUGACCAGCCACACUGGAACUGAGACACGGUCCAGACUCCUACGGGAGGCAGCAGUGGGGAAUAUUGCACAAUGGGCGCAAGCCUGAUGCAGCCAUGCCGCGUGUGUGAAGAAGGCCUUCGGGUUGUAAAGCACUUUCAGCGGGGAGGAAGGCGAUAAGGUUAAUAACCUUGUCGAUUGACGUUACCCGCAGAAGAAGCACCGGCUAACUCCGUGCCAGCAGCCGCGGUAAUACGGAGGGUGCAAGCGUUAAUCGGAAUUACUGGGCGUAAAGCGCACGCAGGCGGUCUGUCAAGUCGGAUGUGAAAUCCCCGGGCUCAACCUGGGAACUGCAUUCGAAACUGGCAGGCUAGAGUCUUGUAGAGGGGGGUAGAAUUCCAGGUGUAGCGGUGAAAUGCGUAGAGAUCUGGAGGAAUACCGGUGGCGAAGGCGGCCCCCUGGACAAAGACUGACGCUCAGGUGCGAAAGCGUGGGGAGCAAACAGGAUUAGAUACCCUGGUAGUCCACGCCGUAAACGAUGUCGAUUUGGAGGUUGUGCCCUUGAGGCGUGGCUUCCGGAGCUAACGCGUUAAAUCGACCGCCUGGGGAGUACGGCCGCAAGGUUAAAACUCAAAUGAAUUGACGGGGGCCCGCACAAGCGGUGGAGCAUGUGGUUUAAUUCGAUGCAACGCGAAGAACCUUACCUGGUCUUGACAUCCACAGAACUUUCCAGAGAUGGAUUGGUGCCUUCGGGAACUGUGAGACAGGUGCUGCAUGGCUGUCGUCAGCUCGUGUUGUGAAAUGUUGGGUUAAGUCCCGCAACGAGCGCAACCCUUAUCCUUUGUUGCCAGCGGUUAGGCCGGGAACUCAAAGGAGACUGCCAGUGAUAAACUGGAGGAAGGUGGGGAUGACGUCAAGUCAUCAUGGCCCUUACGACCAGGGCUACACACGUGCUACAAUGGCAUAUACAAAGAGAAGCGACCUCGCGAGAGCAAGCGGACCUCAUAAAGUAUGUCGUAGUCCGGAUUGGAGUCUGCAACUCGACUCCAUGAAGUCGGAAUCGCUAGUAAUCGUAGAUCAGAAUGCUACGGUGAAUACGUUCCCGGGCCUUGUACACACCGCCCGUCACACCAUGGGAGUGGGUUGCAAAAGAAGUAGGUAGCUUAACCUUCGGGAGGGCGCUUACCACUUUGUGAUUCAUGACUGGGGUGAAGUCGUAACAAGGUAACCGUAGGGGAACCUGCGGUUGGAUCACCUCCUUACCUUAAAGAA
rnacentral:rRNA from 2 species